rnacentral:rRNA from 1 species
AUACACAGUCGGUGGCCAAGCGAAAGCGAUAAGUCAUCCACCUGGGGAGUACGACCGCAAGGUUGAAACUCAAAGGAAUUGACGGGGGCCCGCACAAGCGGAGGAACAUGUGGUUUAAUUCGAUGAUACGCGAGGAACCUUACCCGGGCUCGAACGGCAGAUGAAUUGAGUAGAGAUAUUCAAGUCUUCGGACAUCUGUCGAGGUGCUGCAUGGUUGUCGUCAGCUCGUGCUGUGAAGUGUCGGCUUAAGUGCCAUAACGAGCGCAACCCUUGCCGUUAGUUGCCAUCAGGUAAUGCUGGGGACUCUAGCGGGACUGCCACCGCAAGGUGUGAGGAAGGGGGGGAUGACGUCAAAUCAGCACGGCCCUUACGUCCGGGGCGACACACGUGUUACAAUGGUGGGUACAGAGGGAAGCUACCUGGCGACAGGAUGCAGAUCUCGAAAACCCAUCCCAGUUCGGAUUGGAGUCUGCAACCCGACUCCAUGAAGUUGGAUUCGCUAGUAAUCGCGCAUCAGCCAU